CAUUGGUCCAAUGAAAGCCCAAUCAAUCGUUCAACGGGAGGCUAACACGGGACCUUUGUUUGCCGAUUUUGAAACAGACCGUUGAACCGACGACACGACCUGCCACUCGUCUAUAAAAACUGUAUCGCAAAUUUAACUACCCCCCAGUAACUGGUAAUGUCAAAUCGAAAACGCUAGUAAAAAUAUUUAAACUGGCAGCACAAGUUAAUAUAUUAUUGAUUUUGAAUAACAGUUACCAUGGCUUUGGUUACUGCAUAAUGAAGGUUAGAUGAUAAACAAAAUAAACUGCGGAUCGGUUAUUUAAUUACGGAAAAUUUUAAUGGAUUUACCGACUGUAACGAGUAGAAGAUCCUCUUCUCACGAUAAGUAAAAACUGAGAAGGAUACAGCCAGCGGUUGAAAUGCGAAUGAAAUCAGUUGUUUUUGAUUGUUACUAUAUCAGUUAUUGAAGUCUUUUAUAAAGCGGUUUCUACUGUUUGCCAAAGAGAAGUCUAACAUUUCGACCGUAGUGGACAUUAUGACGCAUAACCCACUGCUGAGUUGGAACAGUUGUGUUAUGACAGCUCGGCGCAAACCGAUGAGGAAGACAUGGAUAUGACCUACAACGAGCUGAGCGUGGCCAGGCGACAGCGGAGUGCGCUGCGGUUCCUACAUAAUGUUCGACAAAAUGAUUUCUCUGUUUGGAAAGAUUUCUCCAGUAACCCUCGAGUGGUGACGGACAUGGUGAAAUAAUACGCACUCAGCCUACACGAGGCGAUUCUAACACCGGUAUCUCACCAAAAUCACGCCAAAAAUCAACAACCCAGAAGAUGGGGUUUCUUGUAUUGGGCUAACAGUUCAAGUGUAUUGAUGAAUAGCUGGAAGUAGUUAAUUCGUCGCGAAACGAUAAAACGACCGGUCAGGUUCAUUGACCAUUGGAAGGGUCUAUUAUCCAUUUCAAUUGGAACGGAUCGCUGAAUGAGUCCUCCCGCUACGAUGAAUUGAAUUGUAUUCGGAAUACCGCCAGCGAGACUACUCUUAUGGUAAUUGUUUCAAUACAUCAACGAGAGCGAGAAAUACUGCAUCUUAGUCAGUUUUCCAUUAUCGGAGGAAAUUUUUGUUUUUGGUUAGUGAACUAGUGAAUUAUCUUCGAUAGAGGAAUCUACAGAAAAAGUCUUGUGUGCAGGGUUACUUCGAUAUAGAUAAAACUACGGAAGAGUGGCAAAUAAUAUUGGGCGCAGAAAGUUGGGUGAGCAUUGGCCAUGAAUCUCAACAUCACACGAACAAUUAUGUAUAUCUCUAUCUGAUUACUUUUGUAAUAUUAGAAAUAAUAAAUAAUAAAUGCAUAUUUAUGAUGUUCAAA